rnacentral:rRNA from 1 species
GACAGAGGUCCCGAGCGUUAGGCGGAAUCACUGGGCUUAAAGCGUGUGUAGGCGGCGGCCUAAGUACCUUGUGAAAUCCCACGGCUCACCCGUGGAACUGCUCGGUAUACUGGGUCGCUUGAGCCACUUAGGGGCUACCGGAACAAAUGGUGGAGCGGUGAAAUGCGUAGAUAUCUGGAGGAACACCGGUGGCGAAGGCGGCAGUCCUGGACAACACUGACACUGGAGGAGCGAAAGCCAGGGGAGCAAACGGGG